GGAGAGGGGAGGGCAGGAGAGCGGAGCGGAGCAGAGGAGGGUGGGGGGUGGAAGAGAAUGCAGAAAAGUGGCAGUGGUCUUUUCACUGAGCGUUUGUGUCUGGAGUGUUCACUAGCUUCUACCACUCUCUCGCUCUUAUUGUUGCUUAGGGUGGAGGUUGAAACUGGAUUUAACUGACUCUUAAGAAAGAAAGCAAAGUGAAAUAGAGUAGCAGAGCAGAACGUGUGCUGUACAUGUUUUUCAGAUAUCUCAUGUUUGAAUAUAAAGAAUGGUCACCACGCGGAACAAACGGAUGAAGUUGUGGUGUUUUGAGGGGGCACAAACAGAGACACAGUUACAGACAGCAUCAAAGCAGUUCCUCACAGCUGUCUGCAUGUGCUGCCGGUUGAUUGAUAAGCCAGGCGAUAUGAAUCUGCAAGUUCAACAUGGAACUGAAUAUUUCGCACAUGGAGAUUUUUUGUGGGCAACGGAAUUGGCCUAGUCUGCACCCUAAGCCUGACUCCAUAUUGCCGCCAGGUGUAGGCUGACUCCGGUAUGGACAUCGAACCGGUCAACACCAUAGACAGAAGUCCUCCACCGGUACGCUUCUUUCCUAUGCCCUUUAUUCUUCUGUCCACUCUUUUAGUUCUUUUUUCAGUCCGAACUUUUUCUGGACGCAUUUUUCAACUGCGCUUUAUUUACGUUUGGGGUCGUGUAAUUUCUUGUUAGUUUAAAAGUCGCGAUAGCUCUCCGCAUUGCUGUAAAAAUAACCCACAGUUGUCCACAUUCCGUUUUACUUCAUAAGCAGACACUAUAUAUAUAUAUAU
ensembl:lncRNA